rnacentral:rRNA from 1 species
GCUUAGGCAAAUCCGGGGUACUCUAUGCUGAGGACUGAUAGCAAGCUGUACUUGUACAGCGAAGUGGCUGAUACCAUACUUCCAGGAAAAGUCUCUAAGCUUCAGUUACACAGGAAUCGUACCCGAAACCGACACAGGUGGUCAGGUCGAGUAGACCAAAGCGCUUGAGAGAACUCUGCUGAAGGAACUAGGCAAAAUGGUACCGUAACUUCGGGAGAAGGUACGCUGUUGACGGUGAUGGGAUUUACUCCCUGAGCGGUCGACAGCCACAGAAACCAGGCCCCUGCAACUGUUUAUUAAAAACAUAGCACUCUGCAAACACGAAAGUGGACGUAUAGGGUGUGAUGCCUGCCCGGUGCUGGAAGGUUAAUUGAUGGGGUUAGCGUAAGCGAAGCUCUUGAUCGAAGCCCCAGUAAGCGGCGGCCGUAACGAUAACGGUCCUAAGGUAGCGAAAUUCCUUGUCGGGUAAGUUCCGACCUGCACGAAUGGCAUAAUGAUGGGGGCGCUGUCUCCAGCAGAGACUCAGUGAAAUCGAACUCGCCGUGAAGAUGCGGUGUACCCGCGGCUAGACGGAAAGACCCCGUGAACCUUUACUGCAGCUUGACAUUGAACUUUGAUCUUACUUGUGUAGGAUAGGUGGGAGGCUUUGAAACCGUGACGCUAGUUACGGUGGAGCCAAUCUUGAAAUACCACCCUGGUAAUAUUGAGGUUCUAACUCUGCUCCAUUAUCUGGAGCGAGGACCAUGUCUGGUGGGUAGUUUGACUGGGGCGGUCUCCUCCUAAAGAGUAACGGAGGAGUACGAAGGUGCGCUCAGCGUGGUCGGAAAUCACGCGUAGAGUAUAAAGGCAAAAGCGCGCUUAACUGCGAGACCCACAAGUCGAGCAGGUACGAAAGUAGGUCUUAGUGAUCCGGUGGUUCUGUAUGGAAGGGCCAUCGCUCAACGGAUAAAAGGUACUCUGGGGAUAACAGGCUGAUACCGCCCAAGAGUUCAUAUCGACGGCGGUGUUUGGCACCUCGAUGUCGGCUCAUCUCAUCCUGGGGCUGAAGCAGGUCCCAAGGGUAUGGCUGUUCGCCAUUUAAAGAGGUACGCGAGCUGGGUUUAGAACGUCGUGAGACAGUUCGGUCCCUAUCUACCGUGGGCGUUGGAAAUUUGAGAGGAUCUGCUCCUAGUACGAGAGGACCAGAGUGGACGAACCUCUGGUGUACCGGUUGUAACGCCAGUUGCAUCGCCGGGUAGCUAUGUUCGGAAGGGAUAACCGCUGAAAGCAUCUAAGCGGGAAGCCUACCUCAAGAUAAGAUUUCUC